ACAUUUGCCUGCAUUUGACUGCAUAAUUUAUGGUAGUGGGGGACUGCGUUUGCGCUUUCCCCUG